ACAAGCAGCCAGGUCACCCUGCAACUCAGAACUGAUAGCCCACUGGAGCUCAGCAGGUGUGAGCCUGGUCAGUACCUGGACGGGAGACCUCCUGGGAAAGCUGAGGUUGCUGCUGGAA
rnacentral:rRNA from 1 species